CUCACCAUUGUUUGAGACAGCCAGGCAGCUCUGUCCCUUAAUAAAGCCCUGCUUUGGGUGUUCGUGUUUUGGCUCAUUUUAUUUCUCUCACUUGGGAUCUUGUGCUUGUGAGGCAGGCACCAGAAUCACUGAGCUAAAUCCCCGGCUCCAAGGUCUUUCCGAGAGCAAAAGCCAUGUUUUAUGGAGAGAUGGAUAUUCUGUCUUGGCUCCAAUGGAGACAUUUUCCACCCUUCCCCACUGUGCUGUCUGCCCUUUACAGGAUGCACCAACAGAGUUUUCUUGCCCCCUGGCUUAGUUGAGCUGGGAGGCCUUGGCUGGAAUGAGAGAAGGGUCGGGUGUUUUCCCCUCGCUUGCUCCUUCACAAGGCGGUUUGGUAAUGGUGCUUGGCUCUGCCUACCAAACACCAUUGGCUCCAUAACCCAGCUCUCUUAUGCAGGUGCAGCUCUUGCUGGGAUGGUAGCAGUUUCCUGCUGGUGCCCAUUCCAGGGACCUGUGCCAUUCUUCACUGGUGCCUGCUAUAACUCUGACUGAAAUUUUACCAGUAGCCUCAUCAAUAACUGAAUCAUCUGCCUCCUGACACCAUCCUGGCUCUGACACCCGUCAUCUGGCCUGGUCCUUCUCCGAGGAAUCACCUCUGAUUUGUUAAACUAAGCAGUCCUUGAAGGCUCUACUGGCUACUCAGGCCGGCCAAAAGGUUGCCCUGUCUAAGUUCCCACAAAACAACCAGCAUCACCAUCACCGCCCCCGCCACCGUCACCAAUCAGCAUUUCCUGAACCGUAUGCUGGAUGUUGUGGUAAGCUCUCGGUAGAGUAGCCCAUUUGUCUUAGUUAAUUUUGCUGAGACAAUAUAUCCCACACCCAAGUUAAGGGAGGAAAAGUUUAUUUAGCUCAGUUUGUAGAGGUUUCAGUCCAUAAUCGGCUGGUUCCAAGGCAGGGUGGCAUCACAGAGGAGAAACAGUUCAUGGCAGACAGAAGAUAGCAAAGCUACAAGGGGAGACCAAAGCUCUUUCUAUACUUUAUGUCUUAUCCAGGCUACUUAGGUUGGGCAGCACUCACACCUUUAAUCCUAGUGCUCUUGAGCCUAGCAUUGCACCAUGAAUCAAUCCCAGCAUCACACCUUUUAGAUCCAGCCACCUCUGAAAAAGCCCCACCUAUGACCUCAUGAGGCUUUGGACACAAGUCAUAACAUUCUGUCCCACAAAGACUCAUGUACAUCCUUUUACAUGAAAGGCAUUUAAUCCAUCUCUCAGCAUUGCCAAAGUCCUAACAGUUUCAACACUGCUGAAAAGUCCAAGUUCAAAGUCUCCUCUGAGAUUUAAGGCAAACUCUUAGCUGCAGGCCCCUGUACACAUGAAAAGAAAGUUAAACACGUCCAACAUUCAAUAGCGCAAGAUAAACAUCACCAUUCCAAAAGGUACAAAUAGGGGGAUACAAAGGAAUGGGACCAAAGCAAGUCCAAAACCCAGCAGGACAAACAUUAAGUCCUGUAGUUGCAUGUCCAGCAUCCCAGGCAAUCUGGCAAGAUGUGAGCUCCAAAGGGCUUGGGUGACUCUGGCCCUACGGCACCUCCAGUGAUUGUAGAUCCCAUGGCUUCUCUCUUGGGCUGGCUCUAUUCCCUUGAAGUUUUUCUCAGAUGAUCCAUGCUCCUGACUUCUCCUGUGAAACUUCUUGGGUCUCCAUUGUACCUUCGGCUUCAUACUCACACCUUCACUGCCCUCUCAGGGGCACCCUGCCUGGCCUCCAAAGCCUUCUUCUGAAAUCUGGGUGGAAGCCUUCCUGACCCCACAACUCUUGCAUUCUGCAUCCACCUAAAACCGGCACCAUGUGGAUGAUGUCAAGGUCUGCCACCAGCUACAGCAGUGGCCAGGCCUCCUUCUCUCUUGGCUGUAAGAGUCAAGUGCCUGUGAACCAAAUCUCAAGCAACAACUUCCCUGCCACUGCCAUUCUGGAACAUGGUGCUCCUGGGCUUUCUUCUCAAAGUGAAGUCUUUUACUUUUGCAACUCUGAGGCUGCAAAGUUUGAGUUCUGUUGGUUCUUGUGUUGUGCUCAGGCCAUCUUUUCUGUUGUCCUCUUCUGAAGUACUUGGCUUUUUCUUGUUAGUCUUUUCAGUGACCAGUUUCUCCCCUGUUCCGUCUGUGCAGGCCACAACUCUAUUGGAGCUUCCUUUCUGGCCAAACUCAAAAUGUUUUAAAUCAUUCUGCUGGCCUCUUUGCUCUUAAUUCUCACAUAAAUCUGGCUGAAAUCCCCCAACAGCAGCCAUGCCACGGUCUCAACAUCAGACUGCCUUAACAUUUCUUCUGCCAGGUUAGUCUGUCACCCUUAAUCUCAGUCUCAGGCAAAGUCUCUGGACACAAGCAAAAUGCAGACAAAGUUUCUGCCAAGACAUAAUAUACAGUGUCUGGAGUCCAACAGACAAUAUAGUCCUUCUUCCUAUCAGAAAGCUCCUGAGCCUGGUAUUUACUGGCAGCGUUUCUAUCAGCCUUCCAGUCUUCUGAGCUCUGACCCCAAUCUCCCAUGAAGUGCAGCCUCAAGUGUUUCUGCUCUACUUUUUCAGCCAUCUUCUAACCUUUCUUAACUCUUCCCCUUCCCACAAGCCAGCUCCAAAGGCUCCUAAAUCACAUGGUCAGGUAUAGUCACCACAAUGACCCCACUUCAGGUACCAAAUUCUCUUAGUUACUUUUCUCAUUGCUGAGACAAAAUACCUGACUCCCAAAGAUAAGGGAUGAAAGGCUUAUUUAGCUCACGGUUUGUAGAGGUUUCAGUCUAUAAUCAGCUGGCUCCAAGGCAGGGUAACAUGGCAGACCGGAAUUGCAGAGGAGAAACAGUUCAUAGCAGACAGAAGUUAGCAAAGGAACAAGGGAUGUUCUAGCCCUUAUAUCUUAUCCAGGCUACUCAGGGUGGGUAGUGCUCACACCCUUAAUCCUAGUACCCUUGAUCCUAGCAUUGCACUGUGAAUCAAUCCCAGCAUCACACACUCUAGAUCCAGCCACCUCUGAAAAACCCCACCUAUGACUGCAUAAGGCUUUGGAGAGGACUUCUAGACACAGGUCAUAACUUUACCCAUAGUUCCAAGAGAAAAGAUCUCUUUAGCACCGUGAUUUUAUAAAUGAGGAGACUAUGGAGAGAUGAAGUAGACACUCAGAGUCAUAGGGACAGUGCUUGGCCAUAUGACUAAGGGUGCCUCCUCUCAAUCUUUAAACUAUAUUGUCUUUAAAAAUAAUAUUCUAUCUGGC
ensembl:lncRNA